UAUCAGCCCACAGCAGGAUGAAGUAUUGUUUAACGCUUAAGAAAAAUUAACCAUAUUUUUGAAAUCGUGCCUUAAAAGUCUGUGCAGGGUAAAGCAGAAAGCCAGGAGAGCUGGCUUAGUUUGUUUAACCCUCAGCCUGGGAGCAGUUCCACUGAAGUCAAUGGCAGUGGUCGUGCAUGUGAUGUCUCGCCAGGCUCUGAUCUACCUCUGCCUCAGUGACCUUCCACCAGGAGAGAAGCCAGCAUUCAGCCUUUUGAGGAAAUACACUCUCCACACUUGCACCAGCCAAAAGUCAAGUCAUUCAGAUUACUAUGAGUGCGCAAACUGUUUCUAACAGUGUGCAGAGAGGCACUCAAGGACAGAAAUGGGCCUGAGCUGUUGGUUCUGGUUGAAGAUUGGA
ensembl:lncRNA